rfam:Tribolium castaneum strain Georgia GA2 linkage group LG8, whole genome shotgun sequence.
GUCGGGUACGGUGACAUGGUGCCAAAGACAUACAUCGGCAUGUUUGUAGGCGCUUUGUGCGCCCUUGCCGGUGUCUUAACCAUCGCACUUCCGGUUCCGGUCAUCGUUUCCAAC